UCAAACAGCGAGCGCACAGUGCACCGCGCGAGGAAAAAAAACAGCCAGCAGGGGUCCCGUGAAAAUAUCUCCUCUCCCCUGCCCUCUCUCCAGUGCUCUCCCCUCUGCUGAUCCCCGUUCCCUCCCAUCGCGCCGCCGGCUCCAUGCAGCGCCGACGCGACCUUCUCUCCCCCGACGCUCGAGAUCCCCUUCUUCCCUCCGGCCGCGCCGCCGGCUCCACGCGGCGCCCGUGCUCACUCGCUCAUCCAUGGCUCCAUCCCUCCUCCUUGUCCGAUGGAGCGACCGGCAUCACUCCGUCUCGAACUGCUCCAGAGAGAGAAAGAGGAGAGGAAGGUGUGGCGGCGGACGGGAGAGGGUCACCGGCUGCUGCCGGCCUGCGCGGACGAAGUCGGGCGCGACCUCGCGGUCUGUGGCGGCUCAAUCUGCUCCUAGAUCGAUCGAGGGCCACGCCAAGGUCGUUGAUCUGCUGCUCGACCGCGAUGCGGAAGCCGUCGUCCAGGACCAGUGGGGAAGCACGGUGAGUCUGCUUUUCGUUGAUCUGCUGCUCGACCGCGAUGCGGAGGCCGUCGUCCAGGACCAGUGGGGAAGCAUGGUGAGUCUACUUUAAACAUUUGACUAUUAAAACUAAUGAUAAUAUUGUGCCUAUGUUACAUGCUUGCUAACAACAAUAUUAUGUGCUAACAAAGCAUCUGCACGUGAGAUGACCAACAUAUAUCCAAAUAUGAAUUUUGUACUGAUCCGCCAAAGAUACGGGACGAGUACACCUACCUGAGGAGAGGUCAUGCUGAUUUACCACGUGCUAGCUGCUGGAGAAGGCACGAGGGGAGCUGUAUCAUAGGCAUUGGUGUUGUGACCACAGGUGUUGCAGUGGUCGACGACCAACAUAUAUCCAAAUAUCUGAACAAAUAUGUGAUUUUCUGAUUGGUAGAAACCCCCUUUUCCCGAACCUGCAGACGAAUGUUUUACUACACAUGGUGUUAACUAAGCGCAUGAAGAUUAUGCCUUCUUCAAUGCAAUAUUAUGCUGACACUUUUGAGAGAGGAGAAGAAAGAAAGGGUGACAUGCUGACCGACGACGAUGCAGCCUCGGAAGAGGAGGAGGAGAAGAAAGAAGAAAGAGAGGGUGAGAAGAGUCCGAUUCUGGUCAAGAGAUGCCAUGGGGAAGAUGCUGGCCUUAUUUCUCACACCCCGAAAGUCACAUUACUUCUAUGAACCAGAAGAACUAGAAGUAUGAAACUUCCAAGAGGAAAUAUUCAUUCCUCUUAGUUAGGUCAUUAUUUGUACAUGCUUUUGCAAUACUCACGAUGCCCUCAGAAUUAUUUAAAAGGAUGCAUCCUUUGGUAUCUGUUCAUACUUAUUAUAGAGCUAUGUUUUACCAUCGAGUAGAUCUCUUAUUACCAUGAUAUUGUCUAAUUUUUACAUGGAUACAGAAGGGUAACUUAACGUUGUAUUCAGAGUUGGGUCGACAUGUGAAGACGUGAGAGCUAGAGCAAAUAGACUGUGAGGUUAUCAGGAUACUGGAGAAAUGGGUUUUGCUUUAGUCCUUGUUAAUGGCACUGGUUUUUCUGGUGCGAGUAAAGCCUGACAGUGGUGUACUCCAGGCAAUGUGAAGCUGGGACUUCCCUAUCAGGUGUGACCUUGUAGCCAAAUCCAUGAGUCGGAGGCAGUUGCAGCAACUAACCAUGAAGCGACGGCAGAGAUCCAGUUUAUCUUUUAGGUCUGACCAGCACAAGGUGGCAACAGCAGUAGUGGAGAAGGCAUGAAGAGGCCCACAUCUGAAAAUCCGUUCUGCUGACUGAUCAAGGGAGAUGGUCCCAGCAUCCACUGUGACAAUGUUGUCCAGAACAUGGACUCUGGAAACUAAAAAGUGCGCAUAAAGGCCACCGAUCGGAUCAGCGCGAAGAAACCCGUUCGGACCGCCGCCGCAAGCCUCGCCUCAGCAACGGAUCAACCUCUGCACCUACAUCCACUUCGACAGGUCCUCAGUCAAAGCAGGUCCACUUCGACUGUCCCGGUAGAGGGCUGCUUACAACUGAUGUCCGCAACUCGCCGCCGUAGUUGUGCUGCUUGCAUUAUGCUUGGGCUGCUCUGAAAUUAUUUAGAUUUCAGUUCGUGGACUUUAUUACUCAUGUGUUCUUUUAGUAGGCCUAUACAAACACAAUUGUACUAUGGCUGAUCUGUUUCCUCUUUUGUUGCAGUUGUCAUGCCUAGGAAAAUACGAAAUAUUUAGAGUUUGGUUCUUUUGAGUUAGCUUAGUGAUGUUACAUGAUCUUAUUGUGCCCUUUUGAUUGAUUGUAGUAGAAGACUGUUAAACUUGGAGAUGAUUUCUUUGAUGUAACCACAAUAUAUCAUACAAAGUUAUUAUUUGAGGAAAAAUGUUUCUUCUCAGAAUAAUAGAUUUGCAUAUGUGCCAAACUGACAAUGCUUUAUAUUUUCAAACUGGGCGCUUACACCAGACGUCAUGAUAAAAUUUACCCACUCAUUCUGAAACAGGCACUGGUUGGAACUUCUUAAGAGGAGUAGCGGUUUAACUCUGUAAGGCAGCUAGAGCAGUCCGACACCUUCAAAUGUUUCUUCUCUGGAGAAUGCGUCAAGCAAAAAAGUCUUAAUUGUUGGUGAAGAUAUAGCUUAGAUUACAGCCAUCCCUUUUCAAUUGUUAGUGAAGAUAUAGUCAAGAUUACAGCUAUUCUGCAGUAAAGUUAGUACAAAGUUGAGUCAUCUAUUUUGGAACGGAGGGAGUAGCUAUUUGAUAGCCCUUUGCUUAGUGUGUUUAUACUUCUUAUUAAUCAGCGCCUAAAUAGUCCGUUUGUACAAGCUCAUACAUGAUUCUUUCUGCUUUUCCUGGUACCUAAAAGAUAUUAUAUGUAUAUAUCCUUUUCGAACUGCUUUAUGGUUAUGUAUAACUAUGGAAUCCAUCGUCCUGUGUUGAGACAAUGUAAUCUACCUAUGUUGCACCUAUGUUUUUUCCCGUUGAGAUUCUACCUUGCAAUGCCUUCGCUAUGCAUGUGCAUUUAUAUCUAUCUUUGCUUAGGUGAAAGAGAACAUAAUAAGUUCAUAUCUCACCUCUGUUCUCAAUUCUCUUGCGUUUCAGCCAACACAUUACUUCGUGUGCUAUCAUCUUCUGCUUGCUAUUUCGCUGGUGCUCUACUGCCUCUGGUGAUCUACUGACUCAUGCUUUUCUUGCUGUUUAGUGAAGGUCCUUCCCGAAAAGCUUUGAUACGACAUGUGCGCUGGAAAGCUCCAUCUUGUUGUUGGACUUGGUGAAGCUAAUGGGCCCGAGGUCGGUAAGAAGAGUAGGAUGCCUCCAUCUUAUGCUGGUGGUCCGCGCUGUAUGACUGAAAACUUCUAUGAUGGGGUGGCUGUUUUGCGUAUGCAUGCCUCGCCUGAUAUAAUCACAACCUUCACAUGUAAUCCAAAGUGGCCUGAAAUAACGGAGAGUACUGAACCUGGGCAAAAAACAGUCGAUAGGUCUGACAUUACCGUUCGAGUGUAUCGCUUGAAAUUUCUUGAGUACCUACAGAAAAUCAGGACAGGGAGGAUGUUUGGGCCUGUAGUUGCUGGUACUAUACCCAGUGUCUUCACUCCCCUAUUAAACAUUUUCUUAGCCAUGUAUGUUAAUUUUACUGCUUUUCAUUUAACUUCCUAUUUUUCAGUUAUCCACACAGGGGAGUUUCAUAAGAGGGAGCUGCCGCAUGCGUGUGUCCUUGUUUGGCAAGAGAAGCAUCAUGACCGGGUGGUCACACCAACUUCAUAAAUUCCUUUAUUUUAAUCACUGGUUCUCAACUGACUGAUAUUGAUGCUGAUGCUCCUGCUACUAUGCCUCCUAACACGAUGGAAACUACAGUUCCUAUGCCACUUAAGCUUAACAGAUGACGAAGAUACUCAACUUGUGGGAACGAUAGAGUUUAUCGUACUCCCUAUGCCGCCACAAGACACGAAGAUUCUGGAUAUCCUCUCAAUGACAGCAUCCUCGCAUGCGAGCGGUUGAUGGGGUGAAGAAGUAGAACUAUGUCCCCAGGAAAAUAGGAGGAGCUCCCAACCCUCCCAUGCUCUCACAUUAGGGGAGGUCCUCCUCUGUUGGAUGAUGGAUCCGCACGAUCCAACGGUGAGCAUCGGAGCCCUAGACCCGGGAAAUAAUUGUGACCCUUCAAGGGGUUUUCAGCAAAAAAGUAAAGCUUGGAGCUCACCUACCGUGGGUGCAUGGGAGGGCUGUUAUUUCCUCCUACGUCCCCUAGGUGCGGCAUGCAUCUCCAUGACUUGUUUGCUCCUACAAAAGUGAAGAUCAUGCGGAUUCUUCCACAAGGUAAGACUAGGACCGUGUCUCCUGUAACUUCCUUGACUUCGCAAACUAUCGUUUAUUCACUAGCGCCAGCUAACACAGUCCGCUGACUUCUUUUAUUUGUCCUCCUUCAUUGAUUUGUUUGGUUUCUAGUCCUCGCCAAUCAACUUUCGUGUUGAAGUGCCCUGUCAAACAUAUUUUGCUUGCGCUCUCCUCUUGCCACCAAAUGUGGAGCUUCGUGUGGCUUGUUGUCUCCUCCUAUCUUUUGAUACGUCUCCAACAUAUAUAUAAUUUUUGAUUGUUUCAUGCUAUUAUAUUAUCAAUCCUGAGUGUUUUAUAUUCAUUUACUAGCAACUUUAUAUCAUUUUUGGGACUAACUUAUUGACAUAGUGCCUAGUGCUAGUUGUUGUUUUUUGCUUGUUUUUUACUUCACAGAAUAUCAGUACCAAAUGAAGUCCAACUGCCACAAAUUUUUUUGGAGAAUUUUUCCUAGAUAGAAGACAACCAGGGAGCCAAAGAAGUCCAUGGGAGGAGCCUAGUGGGGCCCACUAGGCACCAGGGCACGCCAGAAGGCCCAAGCGCACCCUGGUGGGUAGUGGGGCCCACGGGAAGCUUCUCCAUUGACUAUCGUCUAUAAAUACUCUAAAAUCCCAGAAACCUUAGGGGAGUCGACGAAACACGAGAUCCAAUCUAGGGGCCUUUUCCGGCACUUUACCUGAGGGGUCAACAAUCACGGAGGGGUUCUUCAUCAUCACCCUUGCCCCCUCCGAUGAUGCAUGAGUAGUUUACCACAGACCUAUGAGUCUGUAGGUA